rnacentral:rRNA from 1 species
UUUCAUGGAGAGUUUGAUCCUGGCUCAGGAUGAACGCUGGCGGCGUGCCUAAUACAUGCAAGUCGAGCGAACGGACAAGAGUGCUUGCACU